UGGCGAUGAUUAAAAUGGAUUUAUCCGCGCUUCUGAGAGCAAUCGAUGAAGCAAGAACAAAUAAAUGGUUGAAUUUCUUAAUAUGAGCCU
rfam:Ipomoea nil DNA, scaffold: scaffold1421, cultivar: Tokyo-kokei standard.